CUAAUAAUCUCCACAGGGUACAAAGACCUUACACCUAUUAUUCUUUGUCCUGUCUCCAGUACCUAACACACUGUCCACAACAGGUACUCAAUAAAUACUUUGGAUUGGCUGAAUGUAUAAAGAAAUGAACAUAAAGACUUGUGCUCUUAACCAGGUCUUCAUUUGGCUAGAUAAUCUAUGUGGCUUCAUGCAGAUCCCAAGCCAGUGUUUCCAUGGGGACCAUCAGGUACGGCAGGAAAGGUGCAAGCGCAAGAGCAUUUCACAGUCAACAUCUCUAUGCCGUCUUAAUCCAGGUAUCUGGAAACUGCAGUGAAGCCUAUGUAAAAACAAGUUCCCAUUUGAACUGAUUCACAGUAAUCAUGAGAUAGAUGCUAAUGUUGGAAUAUAUUUUUUUCCCUAAAACGACCAAGAGACAAGUGCAUGGUUUAAGUGUAGAAUGAACCAAAAAGGGCAGCAUAUUUAUUUGGACACUUGCUACAUACAAGGUCAAGACUAUAUGUUUGCCUGAGAAACCAUCUGUGGCAGAAACUGAUGAGAGUUUGGAAUUCAGCUUUUGCCUACCCUUCCUAACCUCUCUGGAAGUUGGGCAGGAUCACUGACCACUGUUGGUGAUUAGAUGCUACUGGGUACCAACUUCCUUGCCUUGUCAUUAUACAGAUCCCUAUGGGACUGUUCUCUAAAGGCUUCCUGCCCUACUGGCUGAAUGGAAGUAACCUUGGGGAAGAUGGAGCCACAGGUUGGAAGGAGCCUGUGUCCUUGCAUUACUAGGUAGCCCCUCUUCUAAGUCAUACCGGAUUAUGAGAAGAACGGUGAUACAUUUGUACUGGGUCAACUCACUGAAAUUUGAAGAUCAAUUGCUGUAAUUUGCCUAUCCUGGCCAAUUGACCUUAUUUCCCAACUUUCCUCUGGGCCAUGGUAGGAAGAGAGAGGAGUAAGUCUCUGGAGUCUCAGAUGAUCCCGAUAAACAAAGGAAUCUAGCGGCUGGGGAGUUGCCUCACUGGCUGUGAGCACUUGUUGCUCUUACACAAGACCUGAGUAUUCUCAGCACCUACACAGUGGUUUACAAUCAGAUAUAACUCCCAUUCCAGGGCAUCUGGCACCCUCUGGCCUCCAUGGGCACCAGAUAUGCACACAGUGCGCUUACAUACAGACAAGCAAAACACUCAUACACAUGAAAUAAGUCUUUUUUAUUUUCUAAAAGAAGGUAUUUGGUACCAACCUCAACAUAGUAUCUUGCAAAUUCUGGAAUAAAAUCUAGAAGCCUUAGACAUUCCCAUGGAACCACAGACACUACCUGUGCUCCUCUACCCAACCCAGAAGUGCCCCUCUGGACAUGUUUAUUCCCUGGAGAACAGUAAGUAACCAUCUCCAAACAGCGGCCAUGGGAAUCCCCAACUCCGCCAAUUGAUUUCAUAUAUUUAGAGUCCAAAUAAAGCCGUAUUUAAUCCUA